CCUACGGGGGGCUGCAGUGGGGAAUAUUGCGCAAUGGGGGAAACCCUGACGCAGCAACGCCGCGUGAAGGAUGAAGGUUUUCGGAUCGUAAACUUCUUUGAUGAGGGACGAAACAAAUGACGGUACCUCAAAAACAAGCCACGGCUAACUACGUGCCAGCAGCCGCGGUAAUACGUAGGUGGCGAGCGUUGUCCGGAAUUACUGGGUGUAAAGGGCGUGUAGGCGGGAAUGCAAGUCAGAUGUGAAAUGCCGAGGCUUAACUUCGGAGCUGCAUCUGAAACUGUGUUUCUUGAGUGUCGGAGAGGAAAGUGGAAUUCCCAGUGUAGCGGUGAAAUGCGUAGAUAUUGGGAGGAACACCAGUGGCGAAGGCGACUUUCUGGACGAUAACUGACGCUGAGGCGCGAAAGCGUGGGGAGCAAACAGGAUUAGAUACCCUUGUAGUC
rnacentral:rRNA from 1 species